rnacentral:rRNA from 1 species
AUGUCAACGCCGAGAAGGGUGGUCGUCGUUGCCGGCCAGAGCCUAAGCCACCUCAUCUCCAUGCUGGAGUUCGCCGCGAUGUGCCUCCGUCGCGGCCUCGCGGUGACCGUCGCCGUCCCGGACCCAUCCCUCACCGCCCCGGCCUUCCGCUCCACCAUCGGCCGGUACGCCUCCCGGCUCCCCGCCCUCUCCGUCCACUCCCUCCCUCCCCCUCCCGCCCUCGACGCCGCCUCCGCUGCCGCCCACCCGUUCAUACGCAUGCAGGCCGCCUCCCGCUCCCAGGCACCUGUCCUGCGGGACUUCCUCCGUAGUCUCCCCGACGUCCACGCGCUCGUCGCCGACAUGCUCGCCGUCUGUGACCUCGACGUAGCCGCGGAGCUGGGCAUCCUGGGGUACCUGUUCUUCUCCACAGGCGCCGCCAGCCUCUCCGUCUUCCUCCAAUUGCCUAUGUUUUGCUCCGGGCGCGCCGGAAACUUGAAAGAUCUCGGCGACACGCCCGUGUCGUUCCCCGGCAUGUCCCCGAUGCCGGCGUCUCACUUGGUCGACGCAGUGCUCGACAGCGGGAAAAACCUGUACACGACUGUGCUGGACGUAUUCGGCCGGAUGGCGGCUGCGCGCGGCAUUCUGGUGAAUACCUUCGACGCGCUGGAGGGCUCAGCGGUGGCGGCGCUUAGAGACGGGCGCUGCCUCCCCGGCCGCGCCACGCCGCCAGUUUACUGCGUCGGGCCGUUGAUCGCGGAGGGGGAAGAGGAGGAGGAAAGGCACCCGUGCCUCCCGUGGCUGGACGCGCAGCCCGAGUGCAGCGUCGUGUUCCUCUGCUUCGGCAGCCGAUGCACGGUGUCGCUCGAGCAGAUCAGUGAGAUGGCCAAGGGGCUCGAGAAGUGCGGGCACAGGUUCUUGUGGGUUCUGCGCGCGCCUCCUGCCUUCGCCGCAGCCGGCGGCGGACCGGACGCGGCGCUGUCUCUUCUCCCGGAGGGGUUCUUGGCCCGGACCGCGGACAGGGGCUUCGUGGUGACUGCGUCCUGGGUGCCUCAGGUGGAGGUGCCGCGUCACUCAUCCACUGGUGCGUUCGUAACCCACUGUGGAUGGAACUCGACGCUGGAGGCGGUGGUCGCCGGUGUGCCAAUGGUGUGCUGGCCGUUGGUAGCCGAGCAGUGGAUGAACAAGGUAAACAUUGUCCAAGAUAUGAAGGUUGGCGUGGAGGUGAGAGGGUAUAAACGCGGGGAGCUUGUCAGGGCCGACGAUGUUGACGCGGCGGUUAGGCAGAUCAUGGACAUGGAGCUGGAGAGACGGCAAGCACUCGAGGAACGGAUCAUGGCGGUAAAGAAGAGCGCUCAAGCAGUACGGAAGGAAGGUGGCUCCUCCUGUACCGCGUUCACCGAGUUUAUGAAGCAAAUAGAGUAA